rnacentral:rRNA from 1 species
UACGAAGGGGGCUAGCGUUGCUCGGAAUCGACUUGGGGCGUAAAAGGGUGCGUAGGCGGGUCUUUUAAGUUCAGGGGUGAAAUCCUGGAGCUCAACUCCAGAACUGCCUUUGGAUUACGUGGAAGAUCUUGAGUUCGGGAGAGGUGAGGUGGAACUGCGAGUGUAGAGGUGAAAUUCGUAGAUAUUCGCAAGAACACCAGUCGGCGAGGG